AUAUAAGAUCAUCUACAAGGAGAGAAAAAAUGGAAAAUGAAGAAGAAGUACUUGAAAUUGAAGUUGAUGCAGAGGGUGAUGAAGAUCUAAGAGAAGCAGAGCAACCUGCCGUGGCAGUGGAUGGGCCAGAAGAUCAUCCACUCCCUGCACCACAAGGGAGAGGCUUGCCCCCAGAACAUCAUCCGCUCCCUGCUCUUCGGGGGAAAGGCUUGCUCCCAAG